UACGGAGGGUGCAAGCGUUAUUCGGAAUUAUUGGGCGUAAAGAGCGCGUAGGCGGCUUUGCAAGUCAGGUGUGAAAUCCCGGGGCUCAACCCCGGAAGAGCAUUUGAUACUGUGGAGCUUGAGUAUGGGAGAGGGAAGUGGAAUUCCUGGUGUAGCGGUGAAAUGCGUAGAUAUCAGGAGGAACACCGGUGGCGAAGGCGGCUUCCUGGACCAAUACUGACGCUGAGGCGCGAAGGCGUGGGGAGCAAACAGGAUUAGAUACCCGUGUA
rnacentral:rRNA from 1 species